rnacentral:rRNA from 1 species
UACGGGGGGGGUAAGCGUUGUUCGGAAUUACUGGGCGUAAAGGGCUCGUAGGCGGCCAACUAAGUCAUACGUGAAAUCCCUCAGCUUAACUGGGGAACUGCGUGUGAUACUGGAUGGCUUGGAUUUGGGAGAGGGAUGCGGAAUUCCAGGUGUAGCGGUGAAAUGCGCAGAUAUCAGGAGGAACACCGGUGGCGAAGGCGGCUCGCUGGGCCUUACCUGACGCUGAGGAGCGAAAGCGUGGGGAGCGAACAGG